AACUUUUUGGGUAGGGUCGUGGUUUGGGCCUUGUUUAGUUCCCAAAAAAAUUUGCAAAAUUUUUCAGAUUCUCCGUCACAUCAAAAUUUUAGACGCAUGCAUGAAGUAUUAAAUAUAGGCGAAAAUAAAAAUCUAAUUGCACAGUUUGAUCGGAAUUGACGAGACGAAUCUUUUGAGUCUAGUUAGUAAUGCUACAGUAUCAAUUUUCCAAAAUUUUUUGGAACAAGGCCUUGAUGUAAAAAGCACAUUUAUUUCCGGUAUAAGAGAG
rnacentral:lncRNA from 1 species